UUGUAUUGAAGUUUAAUUUAGUUACAUUUUUGAAAACUGUUUGAAUUAACUAUGUGCAAUACACCUCAAAAAUGGUAUUUUAACUAGUCCUCUAAUGUUCAUAAUGGUAGUUUUUCAUGCUAUAAACGAGCUGAUGAUAGCUUUUAUCAAACAAAAGAUGCAAGUUCAGAGAAUUCUAGUUCAGAGAAAUAGUAUAUACAGAAUUGCCAGAAAAAG